UGUUUUCAGAGCUUUUUGACGUCAGAAUUUCAGAUAGGGGAUUUUGAAACUGAAUUGGGAUAUCGGAUAUGCCAUGUAAAAUAAGUAUAUUGAAUAUUUUUUGGAAAAUAAAAGAGACACUUAAAAAACAUAAGCCAGAAAUAAGAGAGAAUGAAAGCACAUUUGAAAAAACCAGCCAAAUAGAACUUCUAGAAAUAAAAAUUACAUGAUUGAAAUUUAAAACACAAUGGAUGCAUUAAGCCAGAAUAUUAGACUCGCCUAAAGAAAGAAUUAGUAAAGUAGUUUUGCUCAGGAGGUGGGUAAACCAAUUAACCUAAGAUGUUGUUAAGUACUCAUAUUAAAUGAUCUAAAAAUAGCUACAAAAAUAUAACUACCAAAUUAGUAAGGGGGAAUGUAAUGAGAAAAAGGAAAAAAUAAAAGAGAAAUUCAAUCAAUGCAAAAGAAGGCAAAAACAAGGAGGAAAAUCUUCUUCCAAACAAAACUAAAAAACUCAAAAUAGCACAAAACAAGACGGUAGAUAAAUCUAAUUAUAAUAUUAAUUACCACAAAUAUAAAUGGACUUUAUUCAUUUUAAUUAAAAGAAAAUGACUUUCAUCCUCUAUUUUUAAAUUGCGUCUAUGUUUUAAAAAAACACCUUAAAACAUAAGCAGAGAGUUUACAUCAAACCGUUAGGAAAAGAUAUUCCAGAUACCUAAUAGCCUAAGUAAAUCUGGUAUGGCUAUACAAAUAUUACGCAUUUGGGGACUUCAACUUUUGGUUAUGACGGAGUAAGUGGCUCCAGACUUGCUCUCCCACUGCAACCAAUCAGACAACUGGAGUAAAGAUAUGAAACGACUACUUUCACACAUUAGACAACUGGCAGAACAGGACUGGGAUAUAAACAAGGUAAGCCCUGCUGAACCCUGCCUUUCUGCAUGGAGGUACUUUCUGGGCAGCAGCUCAUGGAAGGAGAGUCCAAGCCAGCACAGGAGUGUCACUGAGAUGAAGAGACAGAUUGUUGAGAUCUGGGAGGCGGAGGUGGUGGGAGUUUGCAGGGCAGAGUACAGGAAAGGAGGAAGCAGAGGAAGAGAUCCAGAAAUGUACAUCAGAGUUCCCUUGGGUCUUUUGCUAAAUACCAAGCCAUGAACACAUAGGGUCAAACUUCAUGAGGCUGGACAAAGGAGGAAUGCCAGGUUGUGUAAGCUGAACAGACACCUGACACAGCUGGGAAAUGUUCGAGGUUCCACCUCUUGGUGGAGCAAGUAGACAGAAAAUCAGUAAGGUUCUAUAAGCCCUGAAGAACACCAUCAAGUAUCUCGUCUUUAUUGAUAUUCAUAGGACAAUACACCGACAAUAGUGAAAUAUCCAUUUUUUAAGAGUAUAUGAAACAUAAGCAAAUAUAAAUAAAUUUUAAAGGAUGAAAAUUGUACAGAGUAUUUUCUCUGACUUCAGUGCCUGGGUUCCCUAAUUAAUGGGAGCGGGAGGAUGAGGGAGAAUUGUGCAGAUCCCAAACUGCCGUCUCCUUAGAAUUUUCCAGGGGUGAGUCCUAAGAGGAGGUACAUGCAAUGACUAGAAAGUGCCACUAGGAGGAAGUAUUUGCUCAUGAAACCAACGACCUGAGCAAUCAGUAACAGACUCAGAUCCAGGCUAUACGCCUGGAUUAUCCCAGGAAAUGGGAACUGAAAUAGUCCAAUGAAGUAUAAACUGAAAGACAUUCUUGCUGAAUCUCUUCUUGCCAGUGUUCCAGUUCAGCCAGAGGAUGACCAGAACAUUCGACCCUUACCUGCUGUUUACCCACAAGCUAUGACAUUUCCUGGUGACCUGACCCUGGAUCCCUGGCAUGGGCUCAGAGGGCUGCUGUGUCUCUGAGACAUCUCCUCCAUUCACCAUCCCAGGGAAUCUCUUCUUCCUUCUCAUCUCAAAGGGCAGCACCGUCCAGUUGCUGUAUGAGAAAUCUCAAAGCAAGCCAGUCCUCCCCCAGCCUACACCAAGCUCUCAACUCUGCCAGAAGGAAAGUCUCCCUCCUGAUCUGCAAUGCUCUUAGUAAGCUUCACCAUGCAAACUGUGCCAGAAGUCAUGAGUCCAGGAGCCAGAGCUGCACGGCACACUUGGGUCUGAAGAGUUUCCUGUAUCACAGUAGUUUUUACCAGGGGUUGAUCUUGCCUCCCAGAGCACAUUUGCAAUGUCUAGAGACAUUUUGAUUGUCAUGACUGGAAAGUUGCUAUUCAUCUAAGGGGUAGGGGCCAGGGAUGCUGCUAAACAUCCUACAAUGCACAGGACAGCUCACAGUGAAGAUAAUAUGUUGGUGUUGCCAAAGUUGAGAACUCAGGUCUGCUCUACCAGAAUGCAGAAGGAAGUAUAACGAACAAUCUUUCAAGCCAUGAGAAGACAGAAGCAGUCUUGUUGCUUUCAAUGUUUGAUCUCAAUUCUCUAUCUGCAGUGCCUCUUGGAGCCUGGUAACUGAAGACACUCUAAAAUCUAUGUCUCUAUAGAAUGAGAGACUGCCAAUAAAUGAGAGAGUGCGUGAAUGCUAAUAAACAAAUAUUCCGUUUUAAGUAUUCUUUCUUGAAGUCUAUUGCCAGUGGGAGGAUUCUGGUGAGGACCAGGCAGAAUUAAGAGUGGGAGUGGUGGUGAGAGG
rnacentral:lncRNA from 1 species